CGGGUGAGUAACGCGUGAGUAACCUGCCUUCAAGAGGGGGAUAACAUUCUGAAAAGAAUGCUAAUACCGCAUGACAUAUCGGAACCACAUGGUUUUGAUAUCAAAGGUUUUAUCGCUUGAAGAUGGACUCGCGUCCGAUUAGUUAGUUGGUGAGGUAACGGCUCACCAAGACCGCGAUCGGUAGCCGGACUGAGAGGUUGAACGGCCACAUUGGGACUGAGACACGGCCCAGACUCCUACGGGAGGCAGCAUG
rnacentral:rRNA from 1 species